UUUUAUUGUUGCUUUUAUUUUCUGCUUUUAUUUGGGUAGUGUUACUGGAUUGUCUUGGAUUCUGGCUUAGGUACUGAGAGGCUAUGCAUAUGGAGGGGGAGGCCCUGGUUUCCUGCUGUCAUUAGGUUUAAGCAGGAGCUGCAGGGUCUCUUCCCUCUCUGCUGCGCCUGGGGCUGCAGCCUUCCUCCUCGCCGCGCUGAAGGAGCGGCUGCUGCGGACCUCUGGCACCUGGACUAUCUCAUGGUUGUGCCGCCUUUCAGCUUCUACCUCAACUAUGAUUACACUUGCUUCUUCCUUCUGCCUACUUGCACUCUACUCAGCUGAGUGCCUUAUGGUGAUUUUCCCCUGUGCUGCUGCCAUCAGCGGUAGUACCAUCCUUGUUGCUGGCCGAGGGGACUAAGGCGAAAAAGACUCCAGUUGCAAAAAGGCCACUGAUAGAUGCGAAACUGUGAGGCUUGGGUUGUGAGCGGUCUGAGGGGAAUUCUUGUGAAGAUGACAAAAAGCCAUUUCCAAGAAUAAGGGAGCGAAAAUCUUAUGAUGUGCUAGGCUUCUUAAUAAAGUGGCUGGAUAAGUA